UCUGAUCGGUUCCGAACUGAAAUGAAUUGAUAGUUCCAAGCCAACAGCAAUAAAUUGAUUAGCAUAAGCUAAUUCUGCCUUGUGGACAGUUUGACAAUCAUCAGUUCGGUUCACAUUUAUUAGCAGUUUGAUUUUUCAGUUUCUACAAUUCAUUUCAGUUCGGAACCGAUCAGACCGAUUGCACAGUCUACUUCACCCAACAUGGAAACCCUUUCUCAUGCUUGUCAAACAUUUUAGACCCAUUUCAAAAUUGCACAAAAAUAACGCAUUGCUAAUGAUUAGUACAAGCUGUUUCAAGUAAUUGUGUGGUCAGAGAUUUAUCCAGUGGAAACUGAUUGGGAC
rnacentral:misc_RNA from 1 species